rnacentral:rRNA from 1 species
AUUGAACGCUGGCGGCAUGCUUUACACAUGCAAGUCGAACGGUAACAGGCCGCAAGGUGCUGACGAGUGGCGAACGGGUGAGUAAUGCAUCGGAACGUGCCCAGUCGUGGGGGAUAACUACUCGAAAGAGUAGCUAAUACCGCAUACGAUCUAUGGAUGAACGCGGGGGACCGUAAGGCCUCGCGCGAUUGGAGCGGCCGAUGUCAGAUUAGGUAGUUGGUGGGGUAAAGGCUCACCAAGCCCACGAUCUGUAGCUGGUCUGAGAGGACGACCAGCCACACUGGGACUGAGACACGCACCAGACGCCUACGGGACGCAGCAGUGGGGAAUUUUGGACAAUGGGCGCAAGCCUGAUCCAGCAAGGCCGCGUGCAGGAAGAAGGCCUUCGGGUUGUAAACUGCUUUUGUACGGAACGAAACGGUUCUGGUUAAUACCCGGGGCUAAUGACGGUACCGUAAGAAUAAGCACCGGCUAACUACGUG